ensembl:lncRNA
UGAGCGCUUCCCCAGGAAGCUUAAAAUCGCUACAGAGUUAUUUCUUCAUUGAACACAUUGUGGCGGUGUUAUUCACAUUUUUGGAACUCGCACGUGCUCUACAGCUCUACAGACAGUGUAUUUACCACCGUCUGCAGUCUGUUGCUUCAGUAAACAGCACGACUCGUCAGUCCGGCCUGCACUGUGCUGUAUAGAUGGAUGCUUGACCUCACCUGGCAUAGCCUGUGCCAUUCCAGUGUGAUUCCUUGGGCAUAUGGCUGUGUCCCAUAGCAGGGUGUUGCACUGCAGCCACUGCAGGUUCCUGGCCAGCUCCCUGGCAAUGCAAUACAGUGAACUCCCUGCCUGUGUCCCCACAUGGAGCACGCCCAAGUGUCCCUGCUGGAUGAGGAGCAGCGGUGAGAGCCCCGUGGUGUGCAAGCAAACGCAAUGUCCUUUUGGCCAUCAGGAUAUUGUGGAGAUGUAGGCCUUAGGGGUACGCAGGUGAAGACAUGAGUGAAAUGGGCCUGCACUGCCCCUUGCUGACAAGCUCACCAGCCGUGGAACAAGAAGUGCUGCAGAGAAUGGACAUCCUGGGGCUGGGAACAUUCUCUCCUCUCAUCCAGGCUCCCGGAUCACCCCAGGCACAGCCAUCUGCAGAGUGCCUUCCUGCAGUUCUACCUGAGGCUCGAGCAUAAUCCUUCAUACUGGCAAGGAGGGUAUGGAAGGGUGAACAGUGCAGGAGCAGUACCUCCAUGCUGCCCUUCUGUGUCCCCUCUCUGUGGCUGGUUCCCCGGCCUCUUUCCAGACCAUGUGAGUGACAUGGGCAGUGUAGCAAGAGUGAUGUGGAAAGAUACAAAUGCCUUGCAAAUAAAAAUGAAUUGCUUCUCUCCCCAUGAUUUAACUGUAUUGAAUCUGAUGCAUGUCCCUGUAUUAGGCUACUUGUCAUUUUCCCUCCAACCAUUCUCUUCGUGCAGAAGAGUGGCCUCCAUUUGUCACAACAGGAGAUAAUGUGCCCUGGAUGCCAGUGCUAACAAACAAAUAACCUGCUCUCAUACAGCACUGCCAGCUGGAAGUUUCAAG